rnacentral:rRNA from 1 species
GGGCCCGCACAAGCGGUGGAGUAUGUGGUUUAAUUCGAUGCAACGCGAAGAACCUUACCAGGGUUUGACAUCCUGCGAAUCUCUUGGAAACGAGAGAGUGCCUUCGGGAACGCAGUGACAGGUGGUGCAUGGCUGUCGUCAGCUCGUGUCGUGAGAUGUUGGGUUAAGUCCCGCAACGAGCGCAACCCACGUCUUUAGUUGCCAGCAUUUAGUUGGGCACUCUAGAGAGACCGCCGGUGAUAAACCGGAGGAAGGUGUGGAUGACGUCAAGUCAUCAUGCCCCUUACAUCCUGGGCUACACACGUACUACAAUGCUACGGACAAAGAGCAGCAAGUUCGCGAGGACAAGCAAAUCUCAUAAACCGUGGCUCAGUUCAGAUCGUAGGCUGCAACUCGCCUACGUGAAGGAGGAAUCGCUAGUAAUCG